rnacentral:rRNA from 1 species
UACGUAGGAUGCAAGCGUUGUUCGGAUUCAUUGGGCGUAAAGGGUGCGUAGGUGGCGCGGUAAGUCGGGUGUGAAAUUUCGGAGCUUAACUCCGAAACUGCAUUCGAUACUGCCGUGCUUGAGGACUGGAGAGGAGACUGGAAUUUACGGUGUAGCAGUGAAAUGCGUAGAGAUCGUAAGGAAGACCAGUGGCGAAGGCGGGUCUCUGGACAGUUCCUGACACUGAGGCACGAAGGCCAGGGGAGCAAACGGG